AAGUUGCAGGGUAUAGACCCGAAACCCGGUGAUCUAGCCAUGGGCAGGUUGAAGGUUGGGUAACACUAACUGGAGGACCGAACCGACUAAUGUUGAAAAAUUAGCGGAUGACUUGUGGCUGGGGGUGAAAGGCCAAUCAAACCGGGAGAUAGCUGGUUCUCCCCGAAAGCUAUUUAGGUAGCGCCUCGUGAAUUCAUCUCCGGGGGUAGAGCACUGUUUCGGCAAGGGGGUCAUCCCGACUUACCAACCCGAUGCAAACUGCGAAUACCGGAGAAUGUUAUCACGGGAGACACACGGCGGGUGCUAACGUCCGUCGUGAAGAGGGAAACAACCCAGACCGCCAGCUAAGGUCCCAAAGUCAUGGUUAAGUGGGAAACGAUGUGGGAAGGCCCAGACAGCCAGGAUGUUGGCUUAGAAGCAGCCAUCAUUUAAAGAAAGCGUAAUAGCUCACUGGUCGAGUCGGCCUGCGCGGAAGAUGUAACGGGGCUAAACCAUGCACCGAAGCUGCGGCAGCGACACUGUGUGUUGUUGGGUAGGGGAGCGUUCUGUAAGCCUGUGAAGGUGUGCUGUGAGGCAUGCUGGAGGUAUCAGAAGUGCGAAUGCUGACAUAAGUAACGAUAAAGCGGGUGAAAAGCCCGCUCGCCGGAAGACCAAGGGUUCCUGUCCAACGUUAAUCGGGGCAGGGUGAGUCGACCCCUAAGGCGAGGCCGAAAGGCGUAGUCGAUGGGAAACAGGUUAAUAUUCCUGUACUUGGUGUUACUGCGAAGGGGGGACGGAGAAGGCUAUGUUGGCCGGGCGACGGUUGUCCCGGUUUAAGCGUGUAGGCUGGUUUUCCAGGCAAAUCCGGAAAAUCAAGGCUGAGGCGUGAUGACGAGGCACUACGGUGCUGAAGCAACAAAUGCCCUGCUUCCAGGAAAAGCCUCUAAGCAUCAGGUAACAUCAAAUCGUACCCCAAACCGACACAGGUGGUCAGGUAGAGAAUACCAAGGCGCUUGAGAGAACUCGGGUGAAGGAACUAGGCAAAAUGGUGCCGUAACUUCGGGAGAAGGCACGCUGAUAUGUAGGUGAAGUCCCUCGCGGAUGGAGCUGAAAUCAGUCGAAGAUACCAGCUGGCUGCAACUGUUUAUUAAAAACACAGCACUGUGCAAACACGAAAGUGGACGUAUACGGUGUGACGCCUGCCCGGUGCCGGAAGGUUAAUUGAUGGGGUCAGCGCAAGCGAAGCUCUUGAUCGAAGCCCCGGUAAACGGCGGCCGUAACUAUAACGGUCCUAAGGUAGCGAAAUUCCUUGUCGGGUAAGUUCCGACCUGCACGAAUGGCGUAAUGAUGGCCAGGCUGUCUCCACCCGAGACUCAGUGAAAUUGAACUCGCUGUGAAGAUGCAGUGUACCCGCGGCAAGACGGAAAGACCCCGUGAACCUUUACUAUAGCUUGACACUGAACAUUGAGCCUUGAUGUGUAGGAUAGGUGGGAGGCUUUGAAGUGUGGACGCCAGUCUGCAUGGAGCCGACCUUGAAAUACCACCCUUUAAUGUUUGAUGUUCUAACGUGGACCCGUGAUCCGGGUUGCGGACAGUGUCUGGUGGGUAGUUUGACUGGGGCGGUCUCCUCCUAAAGAGUAACGGAGGAGCACGAAGGUUGGCUAAUCCUGGUCGGACAUCAGGAGGUUAGUGCAAUGGCAUAAGCCAGCUUGACUGCGAGCGUGACGGCGCGAGCAGGUGCGAAAGCAGGUCAUAGUGAUCCGGUGGUUCUGAAUGGAAGGGCCAUCGCUCAACGGAUAAAAGGUACUCCGGGGAUAACAGGCUGAUACCGCCCAAGAGUUCAUAUCGACGGCGGUGUUUGGCACCUCGAUGUCGGCUCAUCACAUCCUGGGGCUGAAGUAGGUCCCAAGGGUAUGGCUGUUCGCCAUUUAAAGUGGUACGCGAGCUGGGUUUAGAACGUCGUGAGACAGUUCGGUCCCUAUCUGCCGUGGGCGCUGGAGAACUGAGGGGGGCUGCUCCUAGUACGAGAGGACCGGAGUGGACGCAUCACUGGUGUUCGGGUUGUCAUGCCAAUGGCACUGCCCGGUAGCUAAAUGCGGAAGAGAUAAGUGCUGAAAGCAUCUAAGCACGAAACUUGCCCCGAGAUGAGUUCUCCCUGACCCUUUAAGGGUCCUGAAGGAACGUUGAAGACGACGACGUUGAUAGGCCGGGUGUGUAAGCGCAGCGAUGCGUUGAGCUAACCGGUACUAAUGAACCGUGAGGCUUAACCUUACAACGCCGAAGGUGUUU
rnacentral:rRNA from 1 species